rnacentral:rRNA from 1 species
AGGAUGAACGCUGGCGGCGUGCUUAACACAUGCAAGUCGAACGAUGAAGCGGAGCUUGCUCUGUGGAUUAGUGGCGAACGGGUGAGUAACACGUGAGUAACCUGCCCUUGACUCUGGGAUAAGCACUGGAAACGGUGUCUAAUACCGGAUACGAGCUUCAGCCGCAUGGCUAGGAGUUGGAAAGAAUUUCGGUCAAGGAUGGACUCGCGGCCUAUCAGGUAGUUGGUGAGGUAAUGGCCCACCAAGCCUACGACGGGUA